rnacentral:rRNA from 1 species
CCCUUAGAUGUUCUGGGCCGCACGCGCGCUACACUGAUGCAUUCAACGAGUCUAAAACCUGCUCUGAUAGGGGUGGGUAAUCUUUUGAAUGUGCAUCGUGAUUGGGAUAGAUGAUUGCAAUUUUUCAUCUUCAACGAGGAAUGCCUAGUAAACGCAAGCCAUCAGCUUGCAUUGAUUACGUCCCUGCCCUUUGUACACACCGCCCGUCGCUCCUACCGAUUGAAUGAUCCGAUGAAUAUCAUGGAUUGAGGAUUAUAGCAGGUUCGCCUGUCUUGAUCUUCGAGAAGUGAAGUAAAUCUUAUCAUUUGGAGGAAGGAGAAGUCGUAACA